rnacentral:misc_RNA from 1 species
AAGUCGUAACAAGGUUUCCGUAGGUGAACCUGCGGAAGGAUCAUUAAUAAUGAGUAUGUCUGUUUGAUUUUCGAAUUGGACACGACUACUCUUACAACAAAUCCAAAACCGUGUGUGAAUGCGAGGUGUGGACCCUUGGUCUUUAUCGACUGAGAGUCUGCCCUCACUUCAUAUACAAACCCAUUGUGCACUGUUUGCAAAUAAAUGGAUGGGAUCCGGUCUGUAUUUGGGCCGGUGACUGUUCUUUACAUGCUUUACAAAUUUACAACCAUACUACCGGUUCAUACAACAUUAAAGCGAAAGCAAAUUGACACAACUUUUGACAACGGAUCUCUUGGCUCUC